rnacentral:rRNA from 1 species
GUCGACGGACCAAGAUGGCUUGCCAUUUUGGUUAGUGGCAUACGGGUGAGUAAUGCUUGGGAAUCUACCUAGAAGUUCAGGAUAAGCACUAGAAAUGGUGUCUAAUACUGGAUAAUACCCUGAGGGGGAAAGGUUGCGCGUAUCUUUUAAAGUCUUUUUGAUUUUAAAAGAUACGUUUCUGCUUCUAGAUGAGCCCAAGUUGGAUUAUGUUUGUUGGUGAGGUAAUGGCUUACCAAGACUAUGAUCCAUAGCUGGUCUGAGAGGAUGAUCAGCCACACUGGAACUGAGACACGGUCCAGACUCCUACGGGAGGCAGCAGUGAGGAAUAUUGGACAAUGGG